rnacentral:rRNA from 1 species
AAUCAACGCUGGCGGCGUGCCUAACACAUGCAAGUCGCACGAGAAAGGGUAGCAAUACCUGAGUACAGUGGCGCACGGGUGAGUAACACGUGAAUCAUCUACCUUCGAGUGGGGAAUAACUGAGAGAAAUCUUAGCUAAUACCGCAUAAUACCUACGGGUCAAAGCAGCAAUGCGCUUGAAGAGGAGUUCGCGGCAGAUUAGUUAGUUGGCGGGGUAAUGGCCCACCAAGACGAUGAUCUGUAUCCGGCCUGAGAGGGCGCACGGACACACUGGAACUGAAACACGGUCCAGACUCCUACGGGAGGCAGCAGUGGGGAAUUUUGCGCAAUGGGGGAAACCCUGACGCAGCAACGCCGCGUGGAGGAUGAAAUCCCUUGGGAUGUAAACUCCUUUCGAUAGGGAAGAUAAUGACGGUACCUAUAGAAGAAGCCCCGGCUAACUUCGUGCCAGCAGCCGCGGUAAUACGAGGGGGGCAAGCGUUGUUCGGAAUUAUUGGGCGUAAAGGGUGCGUAGGCGGUUUGACAAGUCU